UACGGAGGAUGCAAGCGUUGUCCGGAUUCAUUGGGUUUAAAGGGUGCGUAGGCGGAUUAGUAAGUCAGUGGUGAAAGCCCGUCGCUUAACGGCGGAACUGCCAUUGAUACUGCUAGUCUUGAGUAUGGUUGAGGUGGGCGGAAUGUGUCAUGUAGCGGUGAAAUGCUUAGAUAUGACCCAGAACACCAAUUGCGAAGGCAGCUCGCUAAGCCAUAACUGACGCUGAGGCACGAAAGCGUGGGGAGCAAACAGG
rnacentral:rRNA from 1 species